rnacentral:misc_RNA from 1 species
GAUGAAGAACGUAGCGAAAUGCGAUAAGUAAUGUGAAUUGCAGAAUUCAGUGAAUCAUCGAAUCUUUGAACGCACAUUGCGCCCUCUGGUAUUCCGGGGGGCAUGCCUGUUCGAGCGUCAUUAUAACCACUCAAGUUCUCGCUUGGUAUUGGGGCUCGCGGUUCCGCGGCCCCUAAAAUCAGUGGCGGUGCCUGUCGGCUCUACGCGUAGUAAUACUCCUCGCGAUUGAGUCCGGUAGGUCUACUUGCCAGCAACCCCCAAUUUUUACAGGUUGACCUCGGAUCAGGUAGGGAUACCCGCUGAACUUAAGCAUAUCAAUAAGCGGAGGA